rnacentral:lncRNA from 1 species
GGCCAGGUCUUCAACAGGCCGAACGAAGGGAGAUCUAUUUCCCCAAGGGUCCGGGACCGGACUGCAUAAUCCAAAAUCUGGAUCUCAAAGAGCCAGUGAAGUCAGAGAACUUGUGUUUCUGUCCUGAGCAGUCCAGGCUGGAAGCUCCCUAGCUGGCUUGCUGGAUUCUGAGGGUGCGUCAGCUGCUAUGACCAAGCCCCUGGAACAUGUAUGCCACCUCUGCUGGCCCCAUUCUGGACUUUUUGGUUGGAAUCAGUUCUGAAAUGGCAGGGGACUGGCAUCUAUCUGCAAGUCCUCAGAAAGAAGACAUUCCUGAGCACUGAGUUGUCAUUACUGAAUGAAGAUAGUGUCACUGGAUCUGCCUAGGGCUCUCAAAGCAAGAUACACAGUGUCAUCAGCAGGCUCUGGAAGGGGGGCAGCACAGCCUCAUUUUGGAAGUCCUCCCGAGCCUCUCUUUCCCGUUUGCUGUUGCGCUGGUCUCCCCUCUUCUUCUGGUCCCUGGACCGCUCCAUAUUUCUCAAUCCCAUCUGCUUCAGUAGCUAUGGAAAUUCUGUGUGUAUUUGCUGUCUUCUUGCCUAUAUGUUUGUUUUCCUUCUCUGUCACUUUCCCUUAUUUCCAAGUGAAAAAAAAAGAAAAGGUAUUUGUUUUGUGGGGCUCUAGGGGCAUGUGUGUCACGGUGCAUAUGUGGAGGUCAGAAGCAACUUGCAGGGUCAGUUCUUUCCUUCUACCAUGUGGGUCCCAGGGUGGGGGUUGAACUCAGAUUGUCAAACUUGACAGCAAGUGCUAUCACACUGACCCUCUUUUAAGUUUUUGUUUCGUUUUAAGAAAAUGUCUCUCUCUGAAGCUCAGGGGUGCCUUGAACUGUGGUGAUCCCCCUGCCUCAGUUCUGGGAUUUUAGGCAUAGGCCACUACACUCAGUUCUGUAUCAUUUUCAUACCAAAAUAAUAGUUGCUUGGAUUCUGUCUCCCCCUUCUUCCCACACACCCCUUCCCCCAUGCUGGAUCAGGUUUCUAUCUCUGAAACUGGACUGCAGUCAUCUCUUCUUGAGCUUGUCACCUCUGUUCACAUUAAUAAAGCUCCUGGUCUUCC